rnacentral:misc_RNA from 1 species
GAGAGGUUUGCUCAACCAUCUGGCAUUUGGAGACGCACAGCACUGGGUGCUGCUUCUUUCAUCGGACGUCCUAACUCCUCACAUUGAUUCCGUAUACGUCUGUGCUGCUCAGCUUACCACGCCUCAACUCACCAGAUACCCAAAUACGUACCCACCUCUCGCUCCCCCCUUCACUCUUUGCCUAUGAGACUCCCCUUCCCAAAUAUUCACUCCCACUGCACUUCUUCUCAAAUACUUCCCUCUAUCCCAUGCUCUUCGCCGCUCUUCAAGCUCGCCCCCCGCCGUCCUCCCCGGGGGGUCCGCAUGGACUCAUCCACCGGACCCACUUCUUCUUCUUCUACCUCUGUUCAUCAUUAUCAUCGCCGCCAGAAAGACAAGAUCGUCGUCAUCAUGGGAGCCACUGGUUGUGGUAAAACAAAACUCUCCAUUGAUCUCGGCACAAGGUUUCAGUCCGAAAUCAUCAACUCCGAUAAAAUGCAAGUAUACAGAGGACUCGAUAUAACCACCAAUAAAAUCCCGAUUCACGAUCGUCUUGGAGUUGUCCACCAUUUGCUCGGCGUCUUCGACCCGGAAGACGGCGAGGUGGGUCCUUCCGAGUUCCGUUUAACGGCUGGGUUGGCUAUCUCGGAUAUUGUUUCAAGACAAAAGCUGCCCCUAAUCGUAGGUGGCUCCAACUCAUUUAUUCAUGCUCUGGUGGUUGACCGUUUUAAUCCGGAAUUAGAUGUUUUUGGUGGGGCAUCGGUGUCGACCCAGUUGAGGUACAAGUGCUGUUUCAUAUGGGUGGAUGUGUCAUUACCUCUGCUCUGCGAUUACUUAUGCAAGCGAGUGGACGAAAUGCUGGACUUGGGGAUGUUUGAGGAAUUACUGGAGUACUUCAGAAGGAAAGACCCGGCGAAUCAACCCGGUUUGAGGAAAGCAAUCGGAGUGCCAGAGUUUGACCAAUAUUUUAAGAAUCACCCACCGGGGACAGGAGGAAGGGAGUGGGGUGAGGUACGGCGAGGAGCAUACGAGGAAGCAGUAAGAGAGAUAAAAGAGAACACGUGUCAACUGGCGAAAAGACAGAUAGGGAAGAUCAUGAGAUUAAAAGGGACAGGGUGGGACCUACAGAGAGUGGACGCGACGGAGGCCUUCAUGGAGGCAAUGAAGGUGAGAACGGCGUCGUCAAAUAUCAAAAAGAACAAGAAGAGGUGGAUGGAGGUUUGGGAGAGAGAUGUGUUGGAGCCAAGCAUGAAGAUUGUGAACCGCUUCUUGGAGGAGUAGGUUUUCCAUUCAUUUUGCUCAUUUUAA